rnacentral:rRNA from 1 species
AGGACUAACGCUGGCGGCGUGCCUAACACAUGCAAGUCGAACGAGGGGUAGCAAUACCCCUAGUGGCAGACGGGUGAGUAACACGUAGUCAACCUACCUCUUAAUGGGGGAUAACUAGCCGAAAGGUUAGCUAAUACCGCAUACGUCUCCGAGGGGCAUCCCUUGGCGAUAAAAGGAGCAAUCCGCUCGAUGACGGGACCGCGUCCCAUUAGCUAGAUGGUGGGGUAACGGCCUACCAUGGCACCGAUGGGUAGCUGGUUUGAGAGAGCGACCAGCCACACUGGGACUGAGAAACGGCCCAGACUCCUACGGGAGGCAGCAGUGAGGAAUUUUCCGCAAUGGGCGCAAGCCUGACGGAGCGACGCCGCGUGUGGGAAGAAGGCCUUCGGGUCGUAAACCACUGUCGAAGGGGACGAUAAUGACGGUACCCUUGGAGGAAGCCCCGGCUAACUACGUGCCAGCAGCCGC